rnacentral:rRNA from 1 species
CGCGUAGGCGGUUUUAUAAGUCAGAUGUGAAAGGUACCGGCUCAACCGGUGACGUGCAUUUGAAACUGUAAGACUUGAGUACUGGAGAGGCAAGUGGAAUUCCUAGUGUAGCGGUGAAAUGCGUAGAUAUUAGGAGGAACACCGGUGGCGAAGGCGGCUUGCUGGACAGAUACUGACGCUGAGGUGCGAAAGCGUGGGGAGCGAACA